rnacentral:rRNA from 1 species
UACGUAGGGUGCGAGCGUUAAUCGGAAUUACUGGGCGUAAAGCGUGCGUAGGCGGUUGUUUAAGUCUGUCGUGAAAUCCCCGGGCUCAACCUGGGAAUGGCGAUGGAUACUGGGCAGCUAGAGUGUGUCAGAGGAUGGUGGAAUUCCCGGUGUAGCGGUGAAAUGCGUAGAGAUCGGGAGGAACAUCAGUGGCGAAGGCGGCCAUCUGGGACAACACUGACGCUGAAGCACGAAAGCGUGGGGAGCAAACAGG